GUGGCCCGCAAAGGAAGUAUUAAAAUAGGGCUGCUCUGCUGGCUCUUUGGCUAUUGGAACCACCGCUUAAGCUGUGAGUCAUGCUCUUGGACCUCUGCCUCUGUGGACGCUGACUGCUCGAUCUUCACUUAGAAACUCUCCUGGAGAGGAGGCAAGCAAGUGCAGCUGGCACCACCUGGCCUGCCUUUAAUGGACGUCAUGCUCAGAAAUGAUGAAAGGCUUUGGAUCUUACAAAUGAGAAUAUCCUUCCAAAUGAGCUGAAUACUCACCACUGAGUGCAGAAUCUGAAGUUCUGAGUGCUGACUUUAUUCUUCAGCCCCCAGAAAUUUAUAUUCAUGCAAAACAAGUAUGUAAAAAUAAUGGAUCACACUACAGACUGGAACACACUACAUCCAACUUUCCUUUAUAUGUGGAAAACCUAAUGCUGUGUUAAAAACAAGUUUUC